rnacentral:rRNA from 1 species
GAUGAACGCUAGCGGCAGGCCUAACACAUGCAAGUCGAGGGGCAGCGCAUAAAGUGGUUUACUACUUUUGGUGGCGACCGGCGGACGGGUGCGUAACGCGUAUGCAACCUGCCUCCAACAGGGGGAUAACGGAGAGAAAUUUCCACUAAUACCCCAUAAUAUCAGAAUCGGCAUCGGUUUUGGUUGAAAACUCCGGUGGUUGGAGAUGGGCAUGCGUUGUAUUAGAUAGUUGGUGAGGUAACGGCUCACCAAGUCAACGAUACAUAGGGGGACUGAGAGGUUAGCCCCCCACACUGGUACUGAGACACGGACCAGACUCCUACGGGAGGCAGCAGUGAGGAAUAUUGGUCAAUGGGGGCAACCCUGAACCAGCCAUGCCGCGUGCAGGAAGACGGCUCUAUGAGUUGUAAACUGCUUUUACAAGGGGAUAAAUCGGUGUACGUGUACACCGUUGAAGGUACCUUGGGAAUAAGGAUCGGCUAACUCCGUGCCAGCAGCCGCGGUAA